UGAGGAAUAUUGGUCAAUGGGCGGGAGCCUGAACCAGCCAAGUAGCGUGGAGGACGAAGGCUCUAUGGGUCGUAAACUCCUUUUUUGCGGGAAUAAAGUUCGCCACGUGUGGCGUUUUGCAUGUACCGCACGAAUAAGGAUCGGCUAACUCCGUGCCAGCAGCCGCGGUAAUACGGAGGAUCCGAGCGUUAUCCGGAUUUAUUGGGUUUAAAGGGAGCGUAGGUGGGCUCGUAAGUCAGUUGUGAAAGUUCGCGGCUCAACCGCGGAAUUGCAGUUGAUACUGCGGGCCUUGAGUGCAGCAGAGGUGGGCGGAAUUCGUGGUGUAGCGGUGAAAUGCUUAGAUAUCACGAGGAACUCCGAUUGCGAAGGCAGCUCGCUGGACUGUUACUGACACUGAUGCUCGAAAGUGUGGGUAUCAAACA
rnacentral:rRNA from 1 species